UGGAGGCAGCAGUGGGGAAUCUUGCGCAAUGGGCGAAAGCCUGACGCAGCGACGCCGCGUGUGCGAUGAAGGUCUUCGGAUCGUAAAGCACUGUCGCGAGGGACAAAGGAAGUGAUGGUACCUCGAGAGGAAGCACCGGCUAACUCUGUGCCAGCAGCCGCGGUAAUACAGAGGGUGCGAGCGUUGUUCGGAAUUAUUGGGCGUAAAGCGCUGGUAGGUGGCUUGUUAAGUCGCGUGUGAAAUCUUCCGGCUCAACCGGAAAAGUGCGCGCGAAACUGGCGAGCUUGAGUACCGGAGAGGGUCGCGGAAUUCCCGGUGUAGAGGUGAAAUUCGUAGAUAUCGGGAGGAACACCAGAGGCGAAGGCGGCGACCUGGAAGGCAACUGACACUGAGCAGCGAAAGCGUGGGGAGCAAACAGGAUUAGAUACCCUGGU
rnacentral:rRNA from 1 species